AUUUUGAGUCAUGCUACCCUGAACAAGCCCGAUCCCAUCUGAUCUAAGCAGGGUCGGGCUUGGUUAGUACUUGGAUAGGAGACCACCUAGGAAGACUGGGUGCUGUAGGUG
rnacentral:rRNA from 1 species